rnacentral:rRNA from 1 species
CCAGACUCCUACGGGAGGCAGCAGUGAGGAAUAUUGGUCAAUGGACGCAAGUCUGAACCAGCCAAGUAGCGUGCAGGAUGACGGCCCUCCGGGUUGUAAACUGCUUUUAGUUGGGAAUAAAAGGGGGCUCGUGAGCCCCGUAUUGUAUGUGCCAUCAGAAAAAGGACCGGCUAAUUCCGUGCCAGCAGCCGCGGUAAUACGGAAGGUCCGGGCGUUAUCCGGAUUUAUUGGGUUUAAAGGGUGCGUAGGCGGAAUGCCAAGUCAGCGGUAAAAUCGCGGGGCUCAACCUCGCUCCGCCGUUGAAACUGGCGGGCUGGAGUUGGAGAGAAGUACGCGGAAUGCGCGGUGUAGCGGUGAAAUGCUUAGAUAUCGCGCAGAACCCCGAUUGCGAAGGCAGCGUACCGGCGCCACACUGACGCUGAGGCACGAAAGCGUGGGUAUCGAACAGGAUUAGAUACCCCAGUAAG